rnacentral:Y_RNA from 1 species
GGCUAGGAUGGUAGUAGGUUAUUAGAACUUAUUAACAUUAGUGUCACUAAAGUUGAAAUUCAACCCCCCACUGCUAAAUUUGACUGGCUUUUA